rnacentral:rRNA from 1 species
GUGUCAGCCGCCGCGGUAAGACGUAGGGCGCGAGCGUUGUCCGGAUUUAUUGGGCGUAAAGAGCUCGUAGGCGGCUUGUCGCGUCGACUGUGAAAACCCGCAGCUCAACUGCGGGCCUGCAGUCGAUACGGGCAGGCUAGAGUUCGGUAGGGGAGACUGGAAUUCCUGGUGUAGCGGUGAAAUGCGCAGAUAUCAGGAGGAACACCGGUGGCGAAGGCGGGUCUCUGGGCCGAUACUGACGCUGAGGAGCGAAAGCGUGGGGAGCGAACAGGAUUAGAUACCCUAGUAGUCC